rnacentral:rRNA from 1 species
UACGGGGGGUGCGAGCGUUGUCCGGAAUCACUGGGCGUAAAGGGCGCGUAGGUGGCCUGAUAAGGGUGUGGUGAAAGUCCGGGGCUCAACCCCGGAUCUGCCGUGCCGACUGUUGGGCUGGAGUACUGUAGGGGCAGGCGGAAUUCCGGGUGUAGCGGUGGAAUGCGUAGAGAUCCGGAAGAACACCGGUGGCGAAGGCGGCCUGCUGGGCUAUGGCUGACACUGAGGCGCGACAGCGUGGGGAGCAAACAGG